rnacentral:rRNA from 1 species
GGGUGAGUAACACGUGAAGAACCUGCCUUACAGAGGGGGACAACAGCUGGAAACGGCUGCUAAUACCGCAUAACGCUAGAGUGUGGCAUCACAUUUUAGCCAAAAGAGCAAUCUGCUGUAAGAUGGCUUCGCGUCCGAUUAGACAGUUGGCGGGGUAACGGCCCACCAAAUCUACGAUCGGUAGCCGGACUGAGAGGUUGAACGGCCACAUUGGGACUGAGACACGGCCCAGACUCC